rnacentral:sRNA from 1 species
UUAACAUGGCAGUAUACCUUACAAAUGUGGGCAGCAUUAUUUCUGGGAUAACCACCGCUGAAAAUUUUGUUGAUGUCCACGCCGGGACUUGAAACUAGGAGUUCGGCGGACAUGCUAACCUCUGCGCCACGGUGGCCUCCCAUUAAUAUAUGACAGCUAUACCAAAUUAUUGACCUAUUUCAAAUUUACACUCAUGGAAACAAGUCUGCUGAUAAUAGAAAACACCAUUUGCUGACAGUUAGUAGUUAAUGUUGCUGCUAUUACAGCAGUAGUUCUGCUCAGGAUGUACUUAUAAGCAAAUCUAAAUGUCAAUGGCUUGAUAACACAGCUGUAAUUUUUCUAAAAUCUUAAAAAGAUAUUCCAUUUGGUCCGAUAUUUCACACUAAGCAACAAAACGGUGUUAUAAUGAUGAAAAUACAAAUGUAAAAUACUUUUGAAGAAGAUAAGUUGUUA